rnacentral:rRNA from 1 species
UACAGAGGUCUCAAGCGUUUGUUCGGAUUCAUUGGGCGUAAAGGGCGCGUAGGCGGCCUGUUAAGUCGAACGUGAAAUCCCCGGGCUCAACCCGGGAACUGCGUCCGAUACUGGCAGGCUUGAAUCCGGGAGAGGGAUGCGGAAUUCCAGGUGUAGCGGUGAAAUGCGUAGAUAUCUGGAGGAACACCGGUGGCGAAGGCGGCAUCCUGGACCGGCAUUGACGCUGAGGCGCGAAAGCCAGGGGGAGCAAACGGG